rnacentral:rRNA from 1 species
GAUGAACGCUGGCGGCGUGCCUAAUACAUGCAAGUCGAGCGAACAGACGAGGAGCUUGCUCCUCUGACGUUAGCGGCGGACGGGUGAGUAACACGUGUAUAACCUACCUAUAAGACUGGGAUAACUUCGGGAAACCGGAGCUAAUACCGUAUAAUAUAUUGAACCGCAUGGUUCAAUAGUGAAAGACGGCUUUGCUGUCACUUAUAGAUGGAUCCGCGCCGCAUUAGCUAGUUGGUAAGGUAACGGCUUACCAAGGCAACGAUGCGUAGCCGACCUGAGAGGGUGAUCGGCCACACUGGAACUGAGACACGGUCCAGACUCCUACGGGAGGCAGCAGUAGGGAAUCUUCCGCAAUGGGCGAAAGCUUGACGGAGCAACGCCGCGUGAGUGAUGAAGGUCUUCGGAUCGUAAAACUCUGUUAUUAGGGAAGAACAAAUGUGUAAGUAACUAUGCACGUCUUGACGGUACCUAAUCAGAAAGCCACGGCUAACUACGUG